AGCCGAGUCACCAAGGAAGCCCAAGAAUACUGGAGUGGAUCAUUGUGCACAACAUGAUUUGCUAUCUGUACAUACUGCAAAAAAGAUCACCACCCAAGCGGUCCUGCGUGAAUUUGCUCACCAGUUCAGGUGAGACCAUUAUCUUACGUGAGGAGGAAAGAUAACCAGCUGCAAAUGGAGAGGGCUGGCCAGACCUUACCAUCCUAACUUACGGUGGAGCGGACUUUGGAUGUCCGUAGCGACCGAGUCAAGGGCCUUGGGGAAGACAUGAACGAGUCUGUUCUCACUAGCAGCAGGAGGUGAUGGAGAUCGUGUAAACCUGCGGACCUCGGUCCUUUCUGACCCUCUACCCACCACCCUCGGGGGGCAGUGGUCACCCAGCGGGGCAGGGACGCCCGUCUGGUAGUACGGUCCCCAGAGCAACAUGAGCAUCUCCUUGACGACCCGUCAGAGAGGAGACGAGGCCAACACUGCCAUCUCCUUCCUGUUUAGGGGUGGGAGGGGCAACAGACAACACUCACAAGUACGCAGAGACAUUGUCUCACCGGCAGUCUCAAGCUUAAAAAGCCAUCCUUUGGAUAAAUGACCUGUUCCUACUGUAUACCACAGAGAACUCUAUUCAACAUCCUCUAACAAGACAUAAAGGAAAAGACUAUGAACACGGCCAGUUUAGGAGGUAGGCAUGGGCCAUUCCAAAGGCUUGUGGGCAUUCAACCUGAGGUUACGGUUAAAAUUCAACAAGUUUCAUGUCGCCAACGUGCAGUUACAGAAAAUGGACAUCUUAGUUGGGGAAAAUAAUUUCAUCUAUUUUCUUCUCCUCUAAGUCAUGGAUGACAAGAGGUCAAGCCAAGAAGUCAGCGGACUUGUUUCCAAGAUCAGAAAUGGGAGCAAAUGAGACCCUCAGACAUCAUUAACAUGGAUUCGCUGGAAUGAUAGAUACCCUAGUGUGUAAAGAAUGACAAGAUGCUUCAGAUGCAAUGGUUUUCUUCUCCAAAGUAAUUAUCAAGAUGUGGCCCUCUGUGUGUGUAUUGGGGGUGAGGGGGUGACACUUACAAGUGUUUCAGAAUUUCCCUGACACAGAAGUCCGAAAGCAGAACCAACUGUUAGGUCAGAAAAAGAAAGGGAAUGAAUAGUAACGGUAACAAUUACCAUACAAAAUUUAAAGAUGUCUCAACUAAAAGCAGCUUUUCCUUCUCAUCUUUUGUUACAAAUAACAUUUUUUCCACCUACAGGCCUUUGAUCACCCUUGGGAUUCGGAACAAAGAAUUAAAGAAUUGAGGUUUUUUUUUUUUUUAAGUUUCUUUAUAUAUGUAAUCAAAAGGACAUACUUUCUCUCAUGAAAUGAAUUUUUCUAUCCCUUCUUCAGGGGAAUUUUCCAACCCAGAGACUGAACCUGGAUCUCCCACGUUGCAGACAGAUCCUUUACCAUCUGAGACACCAGGGAAGCCCAGUCAACACAGACAUUAAUAAUUUCAGAUGAUUUCUAGCUAAUGCGUCAUUUAAAAAUUAAAGAGACUUUGCUGGUGGUCCAGCCACAAUGAAAGAUCUUGCAUUUACUAACCAAGAUUGAAUAUUGUGCAUACCACAGCUAUGAGCCAGUACAUCCAAAUAAAUACAUACAUACAUAAAUAUUUUCAGAAAAUAAAUGAGAAAAAAUAGGUCUCAAAAGAGAACGCUCUGUGAGCCCAGAGGUACCAAUCAGUCAGUUCAGUCACUCAGUCGUGUCUGACUCUUUGCAACCCCAUGGACUGCAGCAUGCCAGGCCUCCCUGUCCAUC